GGGCCAUUUUGGCAACAUUAUUAUAGCCCAAUUAAUAAAAUUAGAGCCAUCGAGCCCACCAAACUAAAACAUUCAGAAAAAAAGAAAAGAAAAAACUUCUUCAUCGCCAUCUCUUUCACCACCUUGAUCGACUCAUCUUCCACAUACCUGAAAUCCUAAAUCGAUUCAACUUACUCAAAAAAAAACUACAGUUAUCAAAACUCAGAGCUUCCCCACUCCGUCUUCUUGAAAGUCAGAUUUAAUGGCCAUUAUCUCCAAACUCAUCAACAGUUUCAAAAGUCGAAUCGCUAUACCUUCCAUCCAUUUCCGCUCAAGUUUAACCCAUAAAUCUACUACUCUCCCUUCCCUUUCCUCACCAUAAUCUUAAUAUUUGACAGCGACGUGGGUUUUCGUCUCUUGGUCGGCCACAGAACAAGAUAGACAUCACGCACAUGGUUUGGGGAAAUGGUUUUGCGACUCCACCAAGAUCAAAGACGAUAAAAAUAAAAGCGGUUGCCAAGUUGUAUUCACUCGAGACAAAAGUCUAUAGUAAGCGUAGUAGGUCGAUCCAUGCCCACCGGUUCAACUCCGAUGAACAAGAGAUCUCUCUCAAGUAUUCUAGAUCAGCUGUUUAGUUCAGAAUUCAGAUUAAGCAUUUAUGCCGUUCUUACUCUCAUGAUUCAUUGGAAGAUAUAGAAGGAUCAGAGCCACAACUACUCAUAGUUACUAACUGGAAUCUCCUCCAAAAAUUGACCUCGGAUUAGUUAAUAGCAAUACAAGAGUUUGAGAUGAGAAUUGAGUGCCAAGUUGAAGAUGAAUACUACCAGGUUAUUGCUAAGCAUUGGUUGCAAUGGCAUGGACUCUUUAGCUUAUAGUCAAUUUGAUUUAUGCUAGCUUGUCAUUCUGAUUUAAGUUUUUCUUUACAACAAUAUAAUAUUUUAUUGCAUAUGUUUUGUAUUGUGUUUUAACUUUUAACCCAUUGA